GAAUAUAUUCAAAAGAUGUGCAAAAUUAUAGUUAACAUUCUCAGUUAGUUACUGAUAAGAGUUUUGGUAAAUAGAAGAACACGUGGCGACGAGAUCCACGCGCGCGCCGAAGUGGAAGUCAACAACAACACAAGGAGAGAACUGAGGGAGAGAGGCAGCCACGACUGAGGGAAGGACAAUGUCAGAGGAGGAUUCGAGAGAGCUCAUCGAAUCCAUUAAGAGGCAACAAGCAGAGACCAGGAUUCGCCUCAGCCUGGCCAACCGUCACAUCAACACUCUGUACUCGCAGGUACAGGACUUGGAGGAGCAGUUUCGCACGGCUAUGGUCUUUAAGAAACACUCGGCGCGCUACAACCUCCGUCAGAAGCUUGCGGUCAUCAUGGGACUCAAGAUUGUGUACCUCAACUACUGCUCAGUCAAGUCGCAGGAGCUGGAACGCAUCAACAGAAAACUCCGUUCCCUCACUGACCGGGAAGAGGAGGCCAUGGACACGGACUCGCUGGAGGAACCGAGCACUUCCCUGGUGGAGAUGUAGUGUGUGGAGUAGUGUUGCAUUGUGGAGUGCUGGUUACUGUGUGUGUUUCUCAUGGCUUACUCCCACAAAGACUGACUGACAGAGGGAGAGAGAGAGGUGAAGAGAGACUGAUUUGAUAUAUGUUUCUGCAUUUAAUUUGGAGUGCUGGCUGCCUGUGUAUGUCUUUUCUUCAGGUAAAGAGGACUGACAGAGGGAAGGAGAAGAAGAGAGAGAUAGAGAGACUAAGACUGAUUUAACUGUUUCUGGUUUUAUUUGAGUGUUGGCUGCCUGUGUAUGUGUCUGUUCUCCCACACGAACUGAGAGAGGCAGGGAGGUAGAGAGGAGGACUGGCAGAGAGAGAUAUAGAGAGAGAGACUAGGCUUGUAUUUAUCUAUCUGUGGGUAACUCUAAGGUCUGGAAAAACUGGUAGUGUGAAUGCUAAGUAAUAUAGGUUUAUUUCAACACCAGGAAGUGAUUUCAUUGCAUUUCCUCCUGUUUUGUUAGGAUAAUUUGAGUGUAGUGGAGUGAGGCAUUUUGUAUUCAAGAUUCACUUAAGAUCUGACGUGUUUGGCAGUCCCAGUUAGAAUGUCUAGAAUGGAGGAGGAGAAGCAGGUUUUAGAGAUAGAAGAAGAAGAGGAGGAGGAGGAGGAGGAGGAGGAGGAGGAGGAGGAGGAGGAGGAAGAAGAGGAGACACUAGUCCUUGUCGAGCUACAUGGCGUGAUAGACUCGGAGAUCUUCACACAGGACAGUUUCAGCAAGUUUAAAGUCCUGGCGGUGGACUCUGAGCGGCCCGUCCUGCAGGUGGAAAACUUCAUCUUCUCAGGGGAAUAUGAACACACGCUGGGGACAGCCGUGUUCUUCGAGGAGGAGGAGAAACGACUCAAGUGUGACCCCGUGUUCUGCAAGAAGCCACCACGGAUGCUACGUUAUGCUUGCAGCACCAACAAGAAGCUCAGCAUGAAGAGGGUGUUUGUAUCGGAGAAGAGCGCCGGGGGAGAUGUGAAGCGCGAGGGGGAGCCUGGGCCGAGUCACAUCUCUGUUGGCCCUUCAGACGCGGCCCAGAAAUUGGAUAAUGCAGGUGGUGGGAUGGGUACUGAGGAGCAAGACUUGACUGAGAUACAGACUGAGGUAUCAACAGGACCAUAGGUGUUCCUUGGUGUCUGAGGUGUGUCAUCCUGCUGGCUUCUCUGAUAUGGCAAGUUACUGUGCUAGAUGGGUACUGAGGAGGCUAACUUGACAGAUACCACCAGUUGUCAACCUUACUGUUUAUUGUGAUGUUAGGAGAGAUUGUCAGUGCUCCUGUCUAUUCUUGGGGAGUGUAAGUGUUGUAUAAUUUUUGUGUCUUGUCUUGCAUAUGUUACUGCAGGUUUUUAUUUUUGCUGUCUAAUGUUCUUUUGUUGUUUGUGUUUUGUCUCCUCUUUCUUACUUCCUGCAUUUCUUUCAUUCUCAUCUCAUAUUCCUCCUUCUUCUGUAUGAUCUACUUCUUCCUUUUAUUUUUGCUCUCUCAUGUCCAUUCUCAUCUAGACUUGUUUCUCAAAUUAUAACAAUCCUGACCUUAAUUGUGGCAGCAAAGACAAGGGCACAGCAAGUCUUUGAUGUGUGUGUGUGUGUGUGUGUGUGUGUGUGUGUGUGUCAGUGGAUGGCUCAAGACUUUGUACUGUUCUUUAAGCCAUGACUGCCUCUGUAUCAAGCCAUAAUGGAUGGAUCAGAUAUUGUAUAGAUUAAGCCACUCUGCUUGGUUCUGGGUUAGGAUAGGUUGGGUUGGAUGUUACUUAAUCUAUUCACUUCAAAAUAUAGGUUAGGUUAAAAUAAUGUAGCCUAACUUAUUCUGUCCCACCUUUCAAAAAUAGAUUUGGUAACAAUGCACAACCUAACUGAUCCAACCUAUCCCAGCCCACUUCAAAAUAGUAAGGAUUAAGUUAGAAUAGGAUAGCCUAACCUAAUCUAACCCAUCCCUUCCCAUCCCAGCCUACUAAAAAAAGCUAGGGUUAGGUUAAGUUAGGUCAUAUAUCCUAGCUCCUCUGAAAUAGGGUUAGAUUAUACAUAACCUACCCUAACAUGAAAGAAUACCAAGGGUGGCUCUCGGAAAACAGCUUGGGGUUAGGUUAGAGGUCAGGCAACAUGACCGAACCUAACACACCCUGGAGUGGCUUAUAAUUAUGUGGGGAAUGUAUGAAGUUAAAUGUAUGUGAUUGUGUGAUGGCGUUGUCAGAAUAUUAAAUGUGUCAUGCCUUGCUCUGCCAAUUUCUGAACAGCUGAUCCUCCCACAACAAAUGUCCAAGUCACUUGUUAAUUAAUGUACUCAUCUGUAACGUGUGACUGAGUUAAGUUAUUUGAUAAACCACUGCGUCUUUUUUCAUUAUUAUAUUUGACAGUGAUGCAGUGUUUCCUUAACCAGUGGUGGAGAGAGAGAGAGAGAGAGAGAGAGAGAGAGAGAGAGAGAGAGAGAGAUGAAAAGUAUAUCUAAAAAAAUUGAUAAAUACAAAAAAAAAAAAAAGUGACGAUAAAUAACUGGCUAUUCUACACAAUAAUAUAAGGUUAGGAUGCCAUUGAGAGAUGUGCAGUUAAGGUACCUAAUCAAUAAACUGUCUCUUUUUAAUAUUACUAACGUUACUCUAGUGUUUUAUUACAAUUGACAACAAACUGUAAACAAGAUCCUGGAAACAUGACACUGCAGGGACAGGAAACAAAUUGUGUGGAAAUACCUUUAUAUAUCAACUUUACAUAUGAAAGGUUUACUCUAUCAAAUAUACUAGAAAUAAUAAAGUUUAUCACAACAUAUAAGACUAAAUAACAAUAAUAAUGGCAGUACAUGCUUUCUAUAAGUAAUUCUGCCCCUUAAUUAUACACACAAAUAAUAAUGACAGACUCUUGAAGUAAUAAAGGAAUGUUUCUAAUUCUAUAUAUGGCAUAAUAAUUCAGUCAUAAAUUAAAUAUCUAUAGGAGUAUAUGAAGUUUCUCAAUAUGCUGUUUUCUUAAAUGUUACACUAGCUUGUCUUGAAAAGCUUAACAGGCUGUAGUGGAAGUUGUUGGGAUUCUCAAGGGUGCUUUCAUGAUUCCAGUGAUAGUUUAACAGGUUGUAGUGGAAGUUAUUAAGGUUUUCAUAAGUAUAGUGAUAGUUUAAUAGAUUGUAGUAGAAGUUAUUGGGGUUUUCAUGAUUCCAGUGAUAGUUUAACAGGUUGUAGUGGAAGUUAUUGGGGUUUUCAUGAUUCCAGUGAUAGUUUAACAGGUUGUAGUGGAAGUUAUUGGAGUUUUCAUGAUUCCAGUGAUAGUUUAACAGGUUGUAGUGGAAGUUAUUGGAGUUUUCAUGAUUUUAGUGAUAGUUUAACAGGUUGCAGUAGAAAUUAUUGGAGUUUUCAAGUGUUUCUAUAACCACUAACAAUUUACCAAGGAAUCUGUACCAGCAAGACAAAAAAAAAGAAAAGAUAA